CUGCCUCUAUCAAGUUUAUGUCCCAUUAAGUGCUUCAGUGGCCAUAGGAUUACCAGCAGAGUGGUAUGUUGUUCAUUUAUUUUCCCUGGGACUUGGUCUCCACAUGUACAUGGCCCUCGUGAGCAUACACAUGACUUGGUUCCACCAAUAUAGCUUCAUUCAACCUUUAAGACAACAACAGGAAAUAAUUUCUUAUUGCCCAAAGAUUUCAGCUCACUCUGACCUUCAGAGCUCCUCAGUGCCUGCAUGCUCAGCACACUGUGUUCUGGGGGCAACGUAAAGGUGGAUCUUACGGUUACAUCCUGAUUAGUAUGUCCAAAUGGGGGCCCAAGCACUUCCUGCACUGCUGAGAAUAGCUCCAACAUGCACACAGUUUUAUUAUUACGUCUAUAUCUGUUGGUUUUUUUUUUUUUUUUUUUCAUUUCUCCCCACACACACCCUGGUUUUGGCUGCAACAGAAAAUAAUGGGUCUGUGGGUGGAUUCAAGAUGUCAGAUAGAGAGAACAAGCACCGCUGCUCACUUUGUAGUAAGGCAGGGAACGGUAUUAAAGCAGCAGAUAUCAAGGAGCAGGGCCGCAGCAGCAGUAGCUCAUCCAAAGCAAUAACAACGCAUGAAGGCAAGCCAUGGCAACUGAAGGAAGGCUGGAAUCUAGCAUACCCAUGGUCUUGUUCUUAUUAUUACAACACAGCGUGACUAAAAAUAUCAAACCAAACAAAAGAAAUUCCUGCAGGCAAGGGGUAAGAGAGGAGGCCGACCACUGCUGGAAAUGGAACUUAUUGUUCACCUAAGUAGUGCAGCGGGGAACAGAAAUCACAGAAGCAAAGGCCAAGAUCAACAGCAGGAGGAGCACUGGAAGUAACAACAAUGUUCCUGAACAAGGAGCACAGACUCCAGAAGGGGGGCACUGCUGUCUGGAGAGCAGAUUUUCUGCCAAGAGGCCACAGAAGGACCCACACAAGCAGGUGCUGCUCCUCUGGGGCUGGAUGUGGUGCCGGCUGCUGCUGUGUCUCAUUGGGAAGCGCUGGCAGCAAACAUCUGAGAUCUGACGGAGCCAGAGCAAGUUUUGGUGACUUGUGCUGAACAGACCUGGAAAUCGGCUUCAGCACCAACAGCCUCUGAAUUAAAACCUGCUUAGGUGAUUACCAGAUCACAUGCGUGCUUGCCUGCUUCACCCAAACACCUGCUUUCCAAUAUUGUUAAAAAUGAGACUCCAGUGACAUUCACAAACAACGUGUGUCGGUCAGAUGAACAUAACGGCAGCUUUUUUGUUGGUUUUUGGGUUUUUUUUUGGUAGAUGAAUAUUUUAUGGCUCAGUAUUUUCCAGAUCCAAGAUCAGAAUUCAGCUAUCAAUUUUCUGGACCUUGACACUUCAUUUUCUUAAUUGAUAGUAAUUUAAAAAUCAAGUGACUUAUUUGCAGUCUACUUUCUUGUUCAAGAAAAAAAGGGAAGCAGACAUCUUUAUAAUAGCUGCCUAGAGAAAUGUCAUGACAAAUUGCAGCAUAGAUCAGAAAUACUACUUAGUGAAGAGCUUACUACAAGCAGCUUAAUACAUAAAUAUGAAAAACUAGGAGCGAGAGAAAAAAAUAGAAUCCUAAUCUCUUUUGCUCAACUUUAAAAUCUCUAAGGCCCACAUCCUAAAAAACCCUCUGUGUUUUAUUUGACCACCACAAGCAGUCCUUCUUAACUCAAGUUGGGAACACUAAUGUACGUGGCAGUAUUCACUGUGAUAAGACCUAAAGUCCAUUUUGUAGCUGGAAAUAUUAGCUGUGUUUUUCCCUUCCCGUUCACUCUUUUCCAUCACUUAUAAAAUAAAUAUUAUGUUAUUACUGCAUCUGUCUAAAUAGACACAUUCUGAUAAAGUGCUUCCACUGCUGUAUCAAAGUACGAUCUACAUGUUGGGAAAUGAAUCAUUUAGAAUCUCUUUCACUUUUGAAAACACGCAGGAGAAAUGGCUUUCUUUACACAUCAGUUGUUCGAGAGUUGAGAGGGCUUUUUUCCCAGAUACGGGUUCAUGUGGAAAACCUGCUGGAGGACACUUAAUCUAUAUACGUGUUUUUAUACGCAUAAUUGAUCAUUUUGUGAUUGGAUAAUUUUAUAAUAAUUUUGUAAAGAAAUCCACAAAUAUCUUUUUUUUUUUUUUUUUAACCCUUUAACAAUUUUAAUUUUGUUCACCUUGGAUUCAGAGAAAAAAUCCAAACACAAAAUAAAGCCAGUUUCCAAAGCACUGUCCUAUAUCCAAUAAGCCGUGUGCAAAUAAGGCUUCAAAUGCCACCCGAAAGUUGGGCAAGGAAGUGAUCAGUCUUCAAAGUCAUUGAUAAUUCAUUGACAGAAAAUAACAAUGCUCAACCCAAUAAAAGCAUCUCUUCUGCAGCGAGUUGGAAAUCUGACCCCGUUCCCAAUAGCUGGCUGCAAUAACGCACUGAAAAUCAUAAAGCAAUUACCUGACACUUAAUACUGGGUUAUUAUUAGAAAACUAUUUUCUUGUGAAAAAAAUAAUUUUCUUGUACUGCUAGAAGCAAAAGGCAAAUAACAUCCCUUCCACCUUUUAAAAAUACUAAUGCCUUCUAUAUUGAGUUUAUUUGCUGUUGAAGUAAGAAAUACAUGGGACAAAUCCUCCCUAGGUGCAAAGUGAUAUUGCUCUGUGGGCUUCCACAUCACUAUUUUCAUUUAUUCUAGGUCUAGACCUGGCAAAGUAAUUUCCCCCCCCCCCAUAAAGGUAACCGCUGCCAGCAGCAAACCCAGAAACAUCCAGUUUCUGUUAUAUUUUGCUUCCACAUGAAAUGGAAUGUCUUCAGGGAACACACAGGCAUGCUAAUGAGAAAGGUUCAAUGGAGAUAGACACACUGGGCCAGCACCUUAGCCCCUGGUCUGGUUACCCUGUGCUGCUCAGGCACUGCGAAGCGGCUGGAUAGCUACUCUAAAGGGGGCAUGGGAGGAUUUCCAUUGCAUAGGGAUUCUUGCUUAUGAACUUUCAUUAACACAGGGUUAAUUUCUAAGGAUGCUGAAGAGUCAAAAUGUCUUGCAACUCUUCCAGGACUGACUGCUACAAAGAGCCACUUCUGUAUUUAAAAAAAUCUUGCUUGGAUUCAUGUAAAUGUGGUUUGUUUGCAAAGGGGAAUAUUGAAUGUUGGACUUGUUUUAACUUGGCAAAUACUGUAAUAUUAAUGUAUUCACCAAGUGGAUUAUGAAAUUUAUCUUGUAAUUUGUUGCUGCUACUAGUUGUCAUUUUUGAUUCCCGGAAAAAUGAAAUAAGAUUUAACUUCAAAAAGUUCUUCUUUAUUACCUAAUUAAAUAAAGGUGGCAGAUUAAUUGACUAAUUGGUGCUCGUGUAUAGAUGGAGACAUAUGGAAAGGAUUUAAGAUUAGACAUAUGGAAAGGAUUUCUAAGAUCUGUAAGACUGUGAGCAGCAUUUUCUCAGAUGUUUUGUAUACAACACGUGACCUGCACAAAAUGCUGCAUUCAGCAUAUAAGCCAGAUUCAUAAAUGUGUGCAUGUGAAAUUCAGCCUCAUGGACAUAUUCAGGAUCAGCGAAAUGCACCAUAGCCAUUCCAUUUGGGACACAAACGCAG
ensembl:lncRNA